rnacentral:rRNA from 1 species
GUAGUCCACGCCGUAAACGAUGGAUACUAGCUGUUGGGCCGCAAGGCUCAGUGGCUAAGCGAAAGUGAUAAGUAUCCCACCUGGGGAGUACGAACGCAAGUUUGAAACUCAAAGGAAUUGACGGGGGCCCGCACAAGCGGUGGAGCAUGUGGUUUAAUUCGAUGAUACGCGAGGAACCUUACCAAGGCUUAAAUGGGAGACGACAGGUGUGGAAACAUGCUUUUCUUCGGACGUCUUUCAAGGUGCUGCAUGGUUGUCGUCAGCUCGUGCCGUGAGGUGUCAGGUUAAGUCCUAUAACGAGCGCAACCCCUGUUGUUAGUUGCCAGCGAGUCAUGUCGGGAACUCUAACAAGACUGCCGGUGCAAACCGUGA